UACAGAGGGUGCGAGCGUUAAUCGGAGUUAUUGGGCGUAAAGGGCACGUAGGCGGUUUGUCAAGUGAGAUGUGAAAUCCCUGGGCUUAACCUAGGAAUUGCAUUUUAAACUGAGAGACUAGAGUACAGUAGAGGGUGGCGGAAUUUCCGGUGUAGCGGUGAAAUGCGUAGAGAUCGGAAGGAACAUCAGUGGCGAAGGCGGCCACCUAGACUGGUACUGACGCUGAGGCGCGAGAGCGUGGGGAG
rnacentral:rRNA from 1 species